GCUACGGGUGGCAGCAGUGGGGAAUAUUGGACAAUGGGGGGAACCCUGAUCCAGCGACGCCGCGUGAGUGAAGAAGUAUUUCGGUAUGUAAAGCUCUAUCAGCAGGGAAGAAAGGAAUGACGGUACCUGACUAAGAAGCCCCGGCUAACUACGGGCCAGCAGCCGCGGUAAUACGUAGGGGGCAAGCGUUAUCCGGAUUUACUGGGGGUAAAGGGAGCGUAAACGGGUCCGCAAGGCUGGAGUGAAAGGCGGGGGCCCAACCCCCGGACUGCUUUGGAAACUGUAUAACUGGAGUGCAGGAGAGGUAAGUGGCAUUCCUCGUGUCGCGGUGAAAUGCGUAGAUAUUAGGAGGCACACCAGUGGCGAAGGCGGCUUACUGGACUGUACCUGCCGUUGAGGCUCGAAAGCGUGGGGAGCAAACAGGAUUAGAUACCCGAGUAGUC
rnacentral:rRNA from 1 species